CUGACAUUACCUGACAUGUCAGCAAGAACUGACUCUGAAUGGACCCAUGGAGUUAAGGAAAUUCUGAGAUCCUCAAAUUCUGUGUCGAAGUGAAUUUAAGCGCAUUUCAGACAUUUCUAAUGACCCAGAGGAGAAGUGUCUAUGAAACCAGACUAUAAAACAACAAACUAAUGAAAAGAAGUCAAGCACACACACUUAAAGCUCGCACAUCAUGUGACACUUCCGCAGUUGACCUCCAGCCCUGGUUUUCCCCGUCACCCUUGUGGAUUGCAAGAUGUAUUUACACCCUCAGAACUGGAAGCGGUCAAUCAACACGUUGUUUGGAAGCCUCUAAUAUCUCUCCAGACCCUGAGAUCUGUUGAGCUUUCACUUGGAGAUGAUGAACUAGACGACACGAUUAAAUCACUGUCAACUACAGCUUCAGUCCAGCCAGCAGUCAACAGGCACAAGAGGGCC